rnacentral:rRNA from 1 species
AUUGAACGCUGGCGGCAGGCCUAACACAUGCAAGUCGAACGAGUGGCGGACGGGUGAGUAAUGUCUGGGAAACUGCCCGCUGGAGGGGGAUAACUACUGGCAACGGUAGCUAAUACCGCAUACCAUCGGAUGGUGCACGAUGGGAUUAGCUAGUAGGUGGGGAAAAGGCUCACCUAGGCGACGAUCCCUACCUGGUCUGAGAGGAGGACACGCCACACUGGAACUGAGACACGGUCCAGAAUCCUACGGGAGGCAGCAGUGGGGAAUAUGGCACAAUGGGCGCAAGCCUGAUGCAGCCAUGCCGCGUGUAUGAAGAAGGCCUUCGGGUUGUAAAGUACUUUCAGCGGGGAGGCGUUACCCGCAGAAGAAGCACCGGCUAACUCCGUGCCAGCAGCCGCGGUAAUAC